UGUUCCAAAUUCAUAACAUAAUGGUACAUAAUUUGCCAAAGCUUUUUUUAGUCCUGCCGGUGGACUGUGGAGUUGGUGACUGGCAUCAACAGUGGGCAGGGUGGCUACCUUUCUUCAGAUUUUUAGGUGAUGUACAAUACCUGUCAUUAUAUUUUGUCUUAAUAUGGUGAAUAAAAGAAUGAUAACAAGAUUAAUUUAGAUUUUCUUAGCUUAUAUGUACUUGGGUUAUAUUGAUUAAUUAUGUUAAUUUACAGCAGUGCAUUUAUGUUACUCAUUGAGCCUCAUGCAAGAACAUAUUUCUUUUUUUAUGGUAAAUUUCCCAAACUUUUUUCAUGCGAUGGACUGGUUUGAGUAUGCCACGUCAGAUUCAACAAACACUCUUAACUUCAGAAAACUUUCUUAAAUAACCCCGGAAUCUCUGUAGUGGCUUCAGAAAGUAUUGAGACACCUUCACUUAUUGCUCACUUUAUAGUGUUGUAGAUAUUAAAAUGGAUAAAAUAGCUAUUUUUGCCCAUCAAUCUACACUCAAUAACCCACGAUGACAAAAUAAAUACAUGCAUUUAGACAUUUUUGCAAAUGUAUUAAAAUUGCAGCGAGGCAUAGAUCAGGGCAAGGGUAUAAAACAAUUUCAAAAAAUUGAGUGUUCCCAGGAGUACAGUGACCUCGAUAAUUGUGAAAUGGAAGAAAUUUGGAACCACCAGGACUCUUCCUUGACUUGGCCAUCAGUGAACUGAGUUGCAAGAAGGGCCUUGGUCAGGGAAGUGAUCAAGAACCCAACACUCUAACUGAGCUUCGGAAGUCCUAUGCAGAGAUGGGAGAACCUGCCAGAAGGAGAACCGUCUCAGCAGCAGUCCAUUAUAUUACAGGCAUUUGGCAGACGCUCUUAUCCAGAGCGACAUACAGUUGAUUAGACUAAGGAGGAGACAAUCUUUUCCUGCAGGGUUAAGGGCCUUGCUCACGGGCCCAAUGGCUGUGCAGAUCUUAUGGCUACACCAGGGAUCAAACCACCGACCUUGCAUGUCCCAGUAAUUUACCUUAACCACUAAGCUACAGGCCGCCCACGAUCAGGUCUUUAUGGUAGAGUGGCUCGAUGGAAGCCACUCUUCAGUUUGGAGUUUGCCAAAUGCCACUUAAAGGAGGAAAAAUAUUAUCUGGUCUGAGGAGACAAAAAUUGAACUCAGCAAAACUCCGAGCACUGUGUCUGGCAAACGCUAAUACCAUCCCUAGGAUGAAGCAUGGUGGUGGCAGCAUCAUGCUAUGGGGGUGCUUCUCAGCAGCAGGGGCAGUGAGAAUGGUCAGAAUUGUGGGAAACCGAAUGCAGCCAAAUACAGAGAGGUCCUGGAAGAAAACGUACUCCAGAGUGCAAAGGUUCACCUUUCAGUGCGACAAUGCCCUGAAGCAUACAACCAAGACAACACUGGAGUAGCUUUAGGAAAAGUCUCUGACUGUCUUUGAGUGGCCCAACCAAGCCCAGACUUAAAUCCAACAUCUGUGGAGAGACCUGAAGGUGGCAGCUGACUCUUGAUUCAUAUUUGAUCUGCAACUCCUAGUUUGAAAGUUUGAUCCGAGUUUUGUGAGCCAGGCGAUCUGUGCUGGAUGCAUUUCAUUUGCAUAUGCAAAUACAGAGCUGCUUAAUGUACCGUGGCACUUGGUAGACUGCGCCUAUCAUGCAUUGCAAGCCUCUCCAUAGAAAAUGAAUGGAAUACGUUGCUUACACGAUUCAUACGACAGGUAGGUACCGCUCAUCGAUGUUGUUCCUACCCAAUAAAAAAAAUAAAAAAAACAGCCCAAUCUCUUUAUCUCCCAAUUCUCUUGAAUCACUCAUACAAGUGAUUUAACUCAUUAACUGCCCUGGGUGACAUUUGUCAGCCUGCCUUGGGCAACUUUUCUCACUGAAACAGCCUUUUAAAUAAACAACCAAUCAAAUAUAUACGUUGCUGGGGCAUUUUUUUGUCAUUGACCAAUAGAAACAAUGACACUGUAUUUGUGUCUUAUUUGUUCAUUUCCUUAUUUUGAAGUUAAUCUGUGACUGGUGAUUCUGGUCAAUAACUUUAAUCCAGUGACUCAGAAGCAGAGACUGAUAAGGGACUAGUUCUGAGAGAAACGUCAGUGAAAUAAAGGUGAUCAUAAAACCAAUAACAAGUUGCUAGUUAUUUAGAUAACUUUGAAAAGGUUAGCUAAGUGAUUAGCAAUAAUAUGCUAGACAGCCAUUAGACAGAACUAGAUCACAGCGAAACUGUGAAGGACAUGAUUCUUGCCUGUCUAGUAUCCUGAUCCUCUGGGAUUUCUAUGUGCCUUUAAUGUAUUGGAAAUUCAUGCCAUUAAAACCUUUAAACCAUUAAAACGUGUAUGUCUAAUAAACAUUUCAUAUUGAUAAAUAUAGACAAACCAACAAAUUAGAAUACUCAUACAUGUAAUACGAAUCCCCCUUUCGGAUAUUCAAAUAACCGUGCACAUUCCUACUGGACGUCACUUCCUGGACUUGACAGGGGACCUAGCCAGUCUGCAGAGUCUGCUCAAAUAGGAAGAGAGGUCGGGGUGAGGAUAGCAGCAAGAAGGACACAGGAAGACCUUUUUCUGCAAAACCUGUCCUGAGAAGCCAGCAAUGUGUCCUGUCCCAUGCUUUGAAGUAUACAAUACAAAGGUGGUCUCCAAGUGAUGGUGAUGGUGAUUUGCCACUCCCAAGUGACAUCUGGUCCAUGGAGAUUGAGGAGAAAUGAAAUCAGUUUCCAUUAACUUUUUUAAAUGCUGUUUUUUUUAAUCCAUAUUUAUUAUUCUCUAAUACAUGUAAUUUUUAAUGUUUCAUUUAUAGUAGCCCAUAAUCAAUUAUAUUACGACCUGUACAUGAAAUGAUAUUUCGUAUUUACUAGGGAUGGGCAUGGUUAAUUGAUUAUCUGGUUAACCGAAAUGGACACUUGUCCACUUAGAUCUGACACUUAGAUCUGAUUCUGGGCCGUUACUUGUAUUUUUAUUACCAAUAAAACAAAAUGAAAUGGAAAAUAGCAUGAGAUGGGUUUUAAGGGAAAAAUUUUAAUGGGAAAUUACACUUCAAGUUCAGGUCGACAAGUGGUAUUGCCACUAUUAAAAAUAAACAUUUCCUUUUUUUACUUGCAUAUUUGCGGGCAACUUUGUCUACAGGUAGCCUAUGUUGUUCCGUGCCAUUCCUCAGGCAGUGUCCUAUCGUUACAAUAUCUGUUGUUCAGAGAGUAGCCUAUUGCUCAAUAUAUUGAUGUUUAGAGUUGCCAUUUUCAUGCGAUCACCCCUUGUCUGUGUCAUGCCUUCAGAAUAUUUGGAAAUAUGUUGUGCAAUCAUGAAUUCAUGUCAUUUUUUGCCCAGGUUUUUUCCUGAAAUUAUGCCCCGUUGUGCAAUAAUACAUCUAAUUAAUGUGCUUAUUCUGACUUUUAUUGUUUUGGUUGUGGUCCAGCCUAUUUCAGCAUGCUUGUACAGCCUAUUAUAGAUUUUUACUCGGUUAAUUGAUUAAAUGUCACCAAUUAAACAAACCAUAAAAACACUGAAUAUGCCCAUCCCUAGAAGUUACCUUAUGAAUAAAAUUAAUUAAAUGUU